ACAGUGGACGCGAGCAUCUGUGGCCAAGUUUUUAAGGGCGCACGGUGGAUGCCUUGGCACCAGGAACCGAU
rnacentral:rRNA from 9 species